GUCUACGGCCAUACCACCCUGAACGCGCCGGAUCUCGUCUGAUCUCUGAAGCUAAGCAGGGUCGGACCUGGUUAGUACUUGGAUUGGAGAAAUCGCUCUCACAAAAGAAACUAUACAGAUGAAGUGA
rnacentral:rRNA from 1 species